GACGAACGCUGGCGGCGUGCCUAAUACAUGCAAGUCGAACGCAGUGGGGACGGGGGAGCAACACGUGGGUAACCGCCCAUCAGGGGGGAGAACACUUGGAAACAGGUGCUAAACCGAUACAGAUGGAUGGACCCGCGGUGCAUUAGCUAGUUGGUGAGGUAACGGCUCACCAAGGCCACGAUGCAUAGCCGACCUGGGAGGGUGAUCGGCCACACUGGAACUGAGACACGGCCCAGACUCCUACGGGAGGCAGCAGUAGGGAAUCUUCGGCAAUGGGCGAAAGUCUGACCGAGCAACGCCGCGUGAGUGAAGAAGGUUUUCGGAUCGUAAAACUCUGUUGUUAGGGAGGCGGUAUCUAACCAGAAAGCCACGGCUAACUACGUGCCAGCCGCCGCGGUAAUUC
rnacentral:rRNA from 1 species